rnacentral:tRNA from 1 species
GAAAUGUUAGUCCAAAUAAAGACAGCUGAUUUCGACUCAGCAAAUUAUGGGUUACCACCAUAACAUUUC